GAUGAACGCUGGCGGCGUGCCUAACUCAUGCAAGUCGAGCGGAUGGACGAGGCUUUUGCGUGGCUUAUGUGAGGGGCGGGCGGGUGAUUCACACGAGUAUACCUUACCUAUAAGACUGAGAUAAUUACGCGAAAGCGGAUAUAACAUCCGAUAAGAUUUUGAACCUUGGGGUUCAUAGGACAAAUACGGCCUUGCUGGCACUAAUAGAGGUUUCCUGGCUGGAUUAGCUAGUUGGUAAGGUAAAGGCUUACCAAGGCGAGGAUGCGUAGCCGAUCUGAGAGGCUGAUCGGCCACACUGGAACUGAGACACGGUCCAGACUCCUACGGGAGGCAGCAGUAGGGAAUAUUAGGCAAUGGGCGAAAGCCUGACACAGCAACGCCGCGUGUGUGAAGAAGGUCUUCGGAUCGUAAAGCUCUGUUACUAGGGAGGAACAGAUGUGUGAUUAGACGUGGCGAUCUUGACGGUACCUAAUAAAGAAGCACCGGCUAACUACGUG
rnacentral:rRNA from 1 species